GCGUGCGCAGUUCCCGUAGCAAUACGGGAGUGGCAGACGGGUGAGUAACACGUGGGAACGUCCCCCUCGGUUCGGAAUAACUCAGGGAAACUUGAGCUAAUACCGGAUACGUCCGAGAGGAGAAAGAUUCAUCGCCGAGGGAUCGGCCCGCGUCUGAUUAGCUAGUUGGUGAGGUAACGGCUCACCAAGGCGACGAUCAGUAGCUGGUCUGAGAGGAUGACCAGCCACACUGGGACUGAGACACGGCCCAGACUCCUACGGGAGGCAGCAGUGGGGAAUCUUGGACAAUGGGCGCAAGCCUGAUCCAGCCAUGCCGCGUGAGUGAUGAAGGCCCUAGGGUUGUAAAGCUCUUUCGGCGGGGACGAUAAUGACGGUACCCGCAGAAGAAGCCCCGGCUAACUUCGUG
rnacentral:rRNA from 1 species